ACUCCAGUAAAGCUCAGAAUUAUCCUCGGGGAAAACAAUUCCCAGAGACUUACCCUGCAAGAUGGAAUUCUAGAUACGGUUGGUGAACUUGUUCAGCACAUUAAGAGUCAGUGUGGGGUAGAAGCCCACUUCAGGCUGCAAUUUAUGGAUGCAGAGUUCGGCAAUGAAUUUACCAACUUGACUUCAGUGUCAGAGAUCCAGGACAGAAGUACCUUAAAGCUCAUCUUUGAUUCAGCUGCAUCUGACCUGCCUGGUGGCUCUCUACCCCCUAAACCUUACUCCACUCCUUGCCCAUCAUGGUCUAGUAAUGAGCCACAACUUUCAUCCAGUAGCUCAUAUGAUGCAGACAUUUUGUCUACUCCUGAGUCCACCCCUUCACGGUCCUCUGGAUGGCCUGUUGUUUUUCUUGUGCCCCGUUUCCCAUUUGAUUGUGAGCUACAGCUGGACAAAGCUAAUGCUGCAUUCAAAGAAAGCAGAACUUUUUUGAAUCAAGACAUUAGACUUAAAACCGCCAUUCUUGACGGUUUAGCCGAAGCAAUUGUUCAGUACAAAGUGUACCCCUCAGACAGUGAGUUUGAAGAGAUUGCUAAAGCCCUUGUCACAUCCCAUCCAUGUUUGAAAGAACCAGGCUCUGCCACUGGAUAUAGUGGCUGGAAGGUGAGCUUAAAAUACAAACUUGCCAAAUACAGACAGAAGCUAAAGCGGCUUGGAUGCCCAGAGGUUGAACUGAAUUCCCUCACAAAUAAACCUGCAGACAAAUGCAGUCCUGCUUAUGGUGUGAAGAAGCCCAGAAAGGCCAAAGUGAACUACUGCCCCACCUACCCAGCUGGUGAAUCUGCAGAGACACUUGAAAAAAUAAGAGAGACCCUUCUUUUAGAAGUUAGGAAAAGGAACAAUGAGAACACAGUGGCAGCAUUGAUGGAGAAGACAUUUGCACACAGAAGACAAGAAGUUAUUCGUGAUGCACCCUUGAUUGCUGAUUUCAAAAACAGAUGGCCGGCUCUCUUAUGUUUCCGUUAGCUAACUGCUGAAUUUAAGAGGAUCACAACAGUCAGUUUGCUGUCCAAGUUCUUCUGCGAGCUGGAUGCUCAGUCUUCAACCCUGACGAGGGUGUUUGGCAAGAAAGGCAGCGUUCAAGGAAGAAAGAUUAGAAGCAUUAUGAUACCCAUAACUCAGACCGACGGCAUUGAUGUCAGGAGAGAGUGCAUCAUCAAAGCCCUCUAUAUGUACCUGAACGAAGAGCCCGAGAACCUUGUGAAAGAAUACAUGAACACAGACUGUGAAAGCAGUGAAGCUGCAAUGAUGGAGACAAUGUUUGGAAUCUAUGUCAUACGCAAAGAAGGUGCAGAGCCAUAUGAUGAACCGGAAGAUGUAGAUUCUGGAGGGUGUGCAAGUUCUGGAUGAGUUGGAAAAUGUAACACUUGCUGUGGUCAUGUUGUUCGUACUUGUAUACGCUCUGAAUCUCAGCUACCCUCCAGAGCUGAGAUACACGUUUGAGGCUUUGCAGAAAAUUAUCAUGGAGCUUAAUGGAGACAGACUGUCCAAAAAAAAUCAAGCACUGAAAACUUUACUUGCACGUUAGUCAUCAUCAAUAGUGACCUAGGAGUUACUCUUACGGGAAGGCAGUUGACGAGUAAUUUGCUUUUAAAAAAUGGCGAGCUGUGUUUGUGUUUUACUACUUACAACUGUUGCUAUUUUUGGGUUAGAAAAUAGAAUAAUAUUGUGAAAUGUCUCUUUAAAAGGAAAAAGGUGUUUUCAAAAGGAAACUACUGCAUAUUAAAGUGCUGAAUGUGAAAAAGACACAGUAUAAGGAUGCACAAUGCUAUAUUUUCAGUUUGUCCUCAAACAUUUUUUUGCCAAGACCACAUUCUGUUUUUGUAUAGUUUUUUUUUACUGAAUGCAUUUUGUAUGUUGAUGUUGAAUAUGAGUAAUAUGUUAACCUGGGACAGGCUCAAACAGUGGGCUCCAAUUUUCUAGCUCAGCAGUUACAAUUUUUGCUUGUCUGUCUGCUUCAAAAAAAAAAAACAAAAAAAAACAGACGACAAUGUACAGUUGGUAGGACUUUGAAGUCUGCUUGUUGUGUUUUCACAGCGACAUUUUUUCAAGCAUUCGCUAAA